UACGUAGGGUGCAAGCGUUUGUCCGGAAUUAUUGGGCGUAAAGAGCUCGUAGGCGGUUCGUCACGUCGGCUGUGAAAUCCCGAGGCUCAACCUCGGGUCUGCAGUCGAUACGGGCGGACUGGAGUACUGCAGGGGAGACUGGAAUUCCUGGUGUAGCGGUGAAAUGCGCAGAUAUCAGGAGGAACACCGGUGGCGAAGGCGGGUCUCUGGGCAGUAACUGACGCUGAGGAGCGAAAGCGUGGGGAGCGAACAGG
rnacentral:rRNA from 1 species